GACGAACGCUGGCGGCGUGCUUAACACAUGCAAGUCGAACGGAAAGGCCCCUUUGGGGGUACUCGAGUGGCGAACGGGGGAGUAACACGUGAGUAACCUGCCCUUGACUUCGGGAUAACUUCAGGAAACUGGGGCUAAUACCGGCUAGGAAUCCUUGCUGCAUGGUGGGGGUUGGAAAGCUUCGGCGGUUUUGGAUGGACUCGCGGCGUAUCAGCUUGUUGGUGGGGUAGUGGCUUACCAAGGCUUUGACGGGUAGCCGGCCUGAGAGGGCGACCGGCCACAUUGGGACUGAGAUACGGCCCAGACUCCUACGGGAGGCAGCAGUGGGGAAUCUUGCACAAUGGGCGGCAGCCUGAUGCAGCAACGCCGCGUGCGGGAUGACGGCCUUCGGGUUGUAAACCGCUUUCAGCAGGGGCGAAGCUUGUGGUGACGGUACCUGCAGAAGAAGCACCGGCUAACUACGUG
rnacentral:rRNA from 1 species